AAUAUUGCGCAAUGGACGGAAGUCUGACGCAGCGACGCCGCGUGGGCGAUGAAGGUCUUCGGACCGUAAAGCCCUGUCCUUGGGGAAGAAGGGCUUCGGCCUUGACGGUACCCAAGAAGAAAGCCCCGGCUAACUACGUCCCAGCAGCCGCGGUAAUACGUAGGGGGCGAGCGUUGUCCGGAAUUAUUGGGCGUAAAGGGUGCGUAGGCGGUCUUCUAAGUCUGAUGUGAAAGCCCCCGGCUUAACCGGGGAGGGUCAUUGGAAACUGGAAGACUUGAGUGCAGAAGAGGAGAGCGGAAUUCCACGUGUAGCGGUGAAAUGCGUAGAGAUGUGGAGGAACACCAGUGGCGAAGGCGGCUCUCUGGUCUGUAACUGACGCUGAGGCACGAAAGCGUGGGGAGCAAACA
rnacentral:rRNA from 1 species